CCUACGGGUGGCAGCAGUGAGGAUUAUUGGUCAAUGGGCGCAAGCCUGAACCAGCCAAGUCGCGUGAGGGAAGACGGUCCUAUGGAUUGUAAACCUCUUUUAUCGGGGAGCAAAAGACGCCACGCGUAGCGUUCCGCGAGUACCCGAUGAAUAAGCAUCGGCUAACUCCGUGCCAGCAGCCGCGGUAAUACGGAGGAUGCGAGCGUUAUCCGGAUUUAUUGGGUUUAAAGGGUGCGCAGGCGGAAGAUCAAGUCAGCGGUAAAACGGAGAGGCUCAACCUCGGCGAGCCGUUGAGACUGGUUGACUCGAGUGAAGGAGAGGUAUGCGGAAUGAGUUGUGUAGCGGUGAAAUGCAUAGAUAUAACGCAGAACUCCGAUAGCGAAGGCAGCAUACCGGCGCUCAACUGACGCUGAUGCACGAGAGCGUGGGUAUCGAACAGGAUUAGAUACCCGGGUAGUC
rnacentral:rRNA from 1 species